rnacentral:lncRNA from 1 species
UGGUUCGAGUUAUCCUGGCAGGAUUACAGGCAAUCCUGCCAGGAUAACUAUGUUUGGUUAAUCUGCUAUGUAAUCUAGUCGUUAAUGUAGCAUUACAAAUCAAGCAGGAUUACAUCGAAAAUAUUAACGAGAGGGGGGUCGUGUAUCUUGCAUUACUGAAACCCGUUAAUACUAUAUAUUAUGUAAAAUGACAAUUUCACCCUCCAACAACCCCAAAUCUAAUUAACAGCAUUAUUUUCAUCUCUCUCUCGCCUUCCCCCCUCUCUCUCGCACGCCGCUUUCUCUCGCUCUCUCUCUCUCUCGAUGUCUCUCUCUCUAUCUCUCUCUCUCACACGAACACCUAUCAUCUUCUAUUGCGUCGUCCUCCCAAGUAAUCAUCACAAUCUCCUUCCCUCCAUUCGUCAUUUCUGCAAAAAAUAAUAUUCAAAUGACCACAACAAGGGCAAUUUUAGAAAAAACUAUACUUUUAUGUCAGAAUUACUAAAUUUUAUAAACUGAACCAAACGUAUUAAUGCUAUAAACACCGUAAUCUAUUAUUACAUUACUGCAUUAAACCAAACGCGCUAAUGCAGCAUCAGUAGUAAUCUCACGCCGAAAUCUAAGAUACCUGGAUAUGUCGAGAUACUUUGUAAUAUUACAUAACUCGAACCAAACGGGCCCUUGGUGUAAUCUUACACCUUUGUAAUGCUGCAAUAUCGAACAGAUUACAUACCGGAUGAACCAAACAUAAUAAUUCUGGCAAGAUUACCUUUAAUCCUGUCAGGAUAAACCGAACCAAAUGCACCCUAAAAGGAAAUGGGGAUAUUUGAAUUUUUUUUAAAUCAAGAAGACUAUUUUGACGCUCUAGGGGUAAAUAAAAUAUUUAUGAAGCUUUGAAGGGCAUAUUAGAUGUUAUCCCUAAAAUUAAAAUACUAUCUUUAUCGUCUUUGUUAGUGUAUAUUAGAUAUUAUCCCUAAAUCCUUCGUCUCUCUCUCUCUCUCUCUCUCUCUCUCUCUCACACACACACACACCCACCUCGAGGCUAAGCCUGAAGCCCCUCAAAUUCUCUUUAUAUUGAUGUGUUUAAAUAUUUGGUACUGUUGCUUUUAUAAUACUUGUUACUUGUUAUCGUUAUCGAUACGAUCAUUUAGUAUUUUUUUCUUAUUAUAUGUUCUAUUGUUUUAUUUUCAUAAAAUUUUGGCUAAAUAUUUCAUCAAUCUUGCACAUUUACUUUGAAAAUAUAUAUUGGAUCAAGUGAACAUAAAAAUUCAAAAGUACUUUAUUUAUCUAAAUAUGCUUAGCUAAUUUUCCAAUGUCCAAAAAUUAUAGUUUGAUAUGAUUUUGUUACAUUAUAGUAAAAAGGAAUGCCAUUAGGGGCGUGUUUAGUUUGCGUCUNGAGUUAGAGGGGUAAACAUAAUUUUAUACAACAUGUAAAAUUAGCCGUCUUUAGUAAUCCAAGAUACACACCUCCUUCCUUAGUAAUAUCUUUGGGGUGCGUUUGGUUCGAGUUAUCUUGGCAGAAUUACAGGCAAUCCUGCCAGGAUAACUAUGUUUGGUUAAUCUGCUAUGUAAUCUAGUCGUUAAUGUAGCAUUACAAAUCGAGCAGGAUUACAUCGAAAAUAUUAACGAGAGGGAGGUCGUAUAUCUUGCAUUACUGAAACCCGUUAAUACUAUAUAUUAUGUACAAUGACAAUUUUACCCUCCAACAACCCCAAAUCUAAUUAACAGCAUUAUUUUCAUCUCUCUCUCACCUUCCCCCCUCUCUCUCGCACGCCGAUUUCUCUCGCUCUCUCUCUCUCUCUCUCUCUCUCGACGUCUCUCUCUCUAUCUCUCUCUCUAUCUCUCUCUCUCUCUCGCACGAACACCUAUCAUCUUCUUGCGUCGUCCUCCCAGGUAGUCAUCACAAUCUCCUUCCCUCCAUUCGUCAUUUCUGCAAAAAAUAAUAUUCAAAUGACCACAACAAGGGCAAUUUUAGAAAAAACUAUACUUUUAUAUCAGAAUUACUAAAUUUUAUAAACUGAACCAAACGUAUUAAUGCUAUAAACACCGUAAUCUAUUAUUACAUUACUGCAUUAAACCAAACGCGCUAAUGCAGCAUCAGUAGUAAUCUCACGCCGAAAUCUAAGAUACCUGGAUAUGUCGAGAUACUUUGUAAUAUUACAUAACUCGAACCAAACGGGCCCUUGGUGCAAUCUUACACCUUUGUAAUGCUGCAAUAUUGAACAGAUUACAUACCGGAUGAACCAAACAUAAUAAUUCUGGCAAGAUUACCUUUAAUCCUGUCAGGAUAAACCGAACCAAACGCACCCUAAAAGGAAAUGGAGAUAUUUGAAUUUUUUUUAAAUCAAGAAGACUAUUUUGA